AGAGUUUGAUCCUGGCUCAGAUUGAACGCUGGCGGCAGGCCUAACACAUGCAAGUCGAGCGGUAACAGAAAGUAGCUUGCUACUUUGCUGACGAGCGGCGGACGGGUGAGUAAUGCUUGGGAACAUGCCUUGAGGUGGGGGACAACAGUUGGAAACGACUGCUAAUACCGCAUAAUGUCUACGGACCAAAGGGGGCUUCGGCUCUCGCCUUUAGAUUGGCCCAAGUGGGAUUAGCUAGUUGGUGAGGUAAUGGCUCACCAAGGCAACGAUCCCUAGCUGGUUUGAGAGGAUGAUCAGCCACACUGGGACUGAGACACGGCCCAGACUCCUACGGGAGGCAGCAGUGGGGAAUAUUGCACAAUGGGCGCAAGCCUGAUGCAGCCAUGCCGCGUGUGUGAAGAAGGCCUUCGGGUUGUAAAGCACUUUCAGUCAGGAGGAAAGGUUAGUAGUUAAUACCUGCUAGCUGUGACGUUACUGACAGAAGAAGCACCGGCUAACUCCGUGCCAGCAGCCGCGGUAAUACGGAGGGUGCGAGCGUUAAUCGGAAUUACUGGGCGUAAAGCGUACGCAGGCGGUUUGUUAAGCGAGAUGUGAAAGCCCCGGGCUCAACCUGGGAACUGCAUUUCGAACUGGCAAACUAGAGUGUGAUAGAGGGUGGUAGAAUUUC
rnacentral:rRNA from 1 species